CUAGAAUACAGUAUAUACAUAUGAAGUGGACAGCAGUAGUUAUAUAGGAUGAACCAUGACUAGAAUACAGUAUAUAUAUAUUGUGUAAAACAAUACGAAAACAUAUAUAGUAUGUGAUAGUAACAGUGACUAAGGUUCAGGACAGGGUACUGGGUGGAGGCCGACUAGUAACAGUGACUAAGGUUCAGGGCAGGGUACUGAGUGGAGGCCGACUAGUAACAGUGACUAAUGUUCGUGGCAGGGUACUGAGUGGAGGCUGGCUAGUGGUAACUAACGUUUAGGGCAGGGUGCUGGGUGGAGGCCGACUAGUAACAGUGACUAAUGUUCGGGGCAGGGUACUGAGUGGAGGCUGGCUAGUGGUAACUAACGUUUAGGGCAGGGUGCUGGGUGGAGGCCGACUAGUAACAGUGACUAAGGUUCAGGGCAGGGUACUGGGUGGAGGCUGGAUAGUGACAGUGACUAAGGUUCAGGGCAGGGUACUGGGUGGAGGCCGGAUAGUGACAGUGACUAAGGUUCAGGGCAGGGUGCUGGGUGGAGGCUGGAUAGUGACAGUGACUAAGGUUCAGGGCAGGGUGCUGGGUGGAGGCUGGAUAGUGACAGUGACUAAGGUUCAGGGCAGGGUGCUGGGUGGAGGCUGGAUAGUGACAGUGACUAAGGUUCAGGGCAGGGUGCUGGGUGGAGGCUGGAUAGUGACAGUGACUAAGGUUCAGGGCAGGGUGCUGGGUGGAGGCUGGAUAGUGACAGUGACUAAGGUUCAGGACAUGGUACUGGGUGGAGGCUGGAUAGUAACAGUUACUAAGGUUCAGGACAGGGUACUGGGUGGAAGCUGGAUAGUAACAGUUACUAAGGUUCAGGGCAGGGUACUGGGUGGAGGCCGACUAGUAACAGUUACUAAGGUUCAGGGCAGGGUACUGAGUGGGAGGCCGACUAGUAACAGUUACUAAGGUUCAGGGCAUGGUACUGGGUGGAGGGUAGCUAGAAACAGUGACUAAGGUUCAAGGCGGGGUACUGGUUGGAGGCUGGCUAGUGGUAACUAAGGUUCAUGGCAGGGUACUGGUUGGAGGCUGGAUAGUAACAGUGCUAAGGUUCAGGGCAGGGUACUGGUUGGAGGGUAGCUAGAAACAGUAACUAAGGUUCAGGGCAGGGUACUGGGUGGAGGCAGGCUAGUGGUAACUAAGGUUCAGGGCAGGGUACUGGGUGGAGGCUGGCUAGUGGUAACUAAGGUUUAGGGCAGGGUACUGGGUGGAGGCUGGCUAGUGGUAACUAAGGUUUAGGGCAGGGUACUGGGUGGAGGCUGGAUAGUGACAGUGACUAAGGUUCAGGGCAGGGUGCUGGGUGGAGGCUGGAUAGUGACAGUGACUAAGGUUCAGGGCAGGGUGCUGGGUGGAGGCUGGAUAGUGACAGUGACUAAGGUUCAGGGCAGGGUGCUGGGUGGAGGCUGGAUAGUGACAGUGACUAAGGUUCAGGGCAGGGUGCUGGGUGGAGGCUGGAUAGUGACAGUGACUAAGGUUCAGGGCAGGGUGCUGGGUGGAGGCUGGAUAGUGACAGUGACUAAGGUUCAGGGCAGGGUGCUGGGUGGAGGCUGGAUAGUGACAGUGACUAAGGUUCAGGGCAGGGUGCUGGGUGGAGGCUGGAUAGUGACAGUGACUAAGGUUCAGGGCAGGGUGCUGGGUGGAGGCUGGAUAGUGACAGUGACUAAGGUUCAGGACAUGGUACUGGGUGGAGGCUGGAUAGUAACAGUUACUAAGGUUCAGGACAGGGUACUGGGUGGAAGCUGGAUAGUAACAGUUACUAAGGUUCAGGGCAGGGUACUGGGUGGAGGCCGACUAGUAACAGUUACUAAGGUUCAGGGCAGGGUACUGAGUGGGAGGCCGACUAGUAACAGUUACUAAGGUUCAGGGCAGGGUACUGGGUGGAGGGUAGCUAGAAACAGUGACUAAGGUUCACGGAGGGGUACUGGUUGGAGGCUGGCUAGUGGUAACUAAGGUUCAUGGCAGGGUACUGGUUGGAGGCUGGAUAGUAACAGUGCUAAGGUUCAAGGCAGGGUACUGGUUGGAGGGUAGCUAGAAACAGUAACUAAGGUUCAGGGCAGGGUACUGGGUGGAGGCAGGCUAGUGGUGACUAAGGUUCAGGGCAG